UUAUGCCCAGGGCUACACACGUGCUACAAUGGCCGGUACAAAGGGUCGCAAACGUGCGAACGGGAGCUAAUCCCAAAAAGCCGGUCCCAGUUGGAAUCGCAGUCUGCAACUCGACUGCGUGAACGCGGAAUCGCUAGUAAUCGCGAAUCAGCAGGUCGCGGUGAAUACGUUCCCGGGUCCUGUACACACCGCCCGUCACACCACGAAAGCCGAUUGUACUUGAAGUCGCUGGGCUAACCCGCAAGGGAGGCAAGUGCCGAAGGUAUGGUCGGUGAUUGGGGUGAAGUCGUAACAAGGUAGCC
rnacentral:rRNA from 1 species